rnacentral:ncRNA from 1 species
AAUGGUUCCCCGAAACAGAGAUCGAUCAGGGGAUUAAAAGGGAAUGCCGUGCAAAUCGGCAACAGUUCCCGCUGCUGUAAAUCCCGUCUCCGCAAGAGACGUUGCUCUCCACACUGGCCACUGUCCGCCUCCGGACGGGAAGGCGCGGAGAGUGGGACAAGUCAGAAGACCUGCCUUUGCAC